UGAUCGGACCGGCCCGGUGCGGCGGAACCGAACACAGAAGGGGGCGUGCGGGGCGGCAGCGCCGGGGCCGCGGGCAGCAAGGGAGGCUGCCCGCGGAGGCGCAGGCACCGGACUGGGCGGAAUGGAGCCAGCCAUGGGGGAGGCGCCCAGCCCCGCACCGGCGCCCGCGCUCUGGGACUGGGACUACCUGGACCGCUGCUUCGCCCGCCACCGUGUCUGCAUCUCCUUCGGCCUGUGGAUCUGCGCCUCCUCCUGCUGGAUCGCCGUUCACGUGCUGCUUCUGUAUCUGAGAUGUGGGAGGAAAUCUGGACGGGACCAGUCAGUGCUGUGGGCUGCGUGCUGCCUCCUGACCAGCUUGUGUGACACCAUUGGGGCGAUUCUGGCCAAACAGCUCACCAUCCAGGUCUUCACUGGUGCCCACCUGGCAGCUGCCGACCUGGUGACCUUUGUGUCUGUUCUCUUCCCAGUCUGUGGUUCCAAAUUCAAGUCCAGUUCGGGUCGGGGCUCCCGGGAGAGGAAGAGGAGGCGGCAGCUCCGGGCCAGCGUGUUUGCUCUGGUCUUGCCACUGAGCCUGGGCCCGGGCUGGGCUCUGUGUGCCGCUGUCCCGAGGGCUUCAGGCCGCGACCAAGGGCCGCAGCGGAGGCUGCUGGGCAUCCUGGUACAGGACAAUACGGAAAUCCUCGGCUUCCUGCUGGGUGGCAUCGCGGCCUUGGGCGCCUGGGUUUCCCGGAUCCGCCCACUCUCCAGAAUCUGCCGGGGUAAGACAUUUCCCUCCAUCCACCUGUGGACCCGGUUCCUGUCAGCCCUGGCCGGUCUCCUCUACGCCUCGGCCAUCGUGGCCCAUGACCGGCGGCCUGAGUACCUGCUGCGGGCCACGCCCUGGUUCCUGACCUCGCUCGGCCGCGCGGCGCUGGAUCUGUCUAUCAUUUUCCUUUCCUGCGUGAUGAAGAGCAAGAUGAGGCAGGUCUUCGGAUUUGCCUCUGAAGCAGGAGAGAACCCCGACACCCAAGCCCUUCUGACUUGUGCAGAGAAGGAGGAAGAAAACCAGGAGGCAAUGACCGAGAACUCGGAUUGGGUGCCGCUCACCACACUCCCACACUGCAAGCCGCUCAAGAGGAUGGCAGCCAUCAGUCGCUACAUGGAGCUGACCAUUGAACCGGUGCAGCAGGUGAGCUGCAGUGCCAGCAGGCUGCCUGGCGACGGACAGACAAACACAGGAGCCGCGUCCCUGCAGGAGCCUCCCUCCUACCCUCCGGUUCAGGUCAUCCAGGCCCGUGUGUCCUCCAGCAGCUCCUCCCAGGUCUCUUCCAUCAACUCCGACCUCGAGCAGAAGUAUUGGGAAGCCCUAAUCUCGGAGCAGUGGGAUCCUGAGGAUGUAAACCUUGGAGGGAACAAAGACAGCACGAGACACGCAGAUCACAGGCACACAGGUGGUGAAGCCAGCGGACUUGCCCUCUGAUGAGUAACACUUUCUGGAGCCAACUCAGCAGCCCAGAGACCAAGGUCAAGCAUUUGUCAGGAACUGAGCAGGGAUCAACCGGCAGGGACAGCCGUGGUAGGAAUUAAGCUUCUGCCAAGGCUGCCCAUGAAAGUGAGGAACCAGGAGCUGUCAUGGAGCUUGGUUGGUCUGCACUACGGCUCAGGAUGGAACUAAGACUUUGGGCCCACUGGACAGACUUGAAUAUGCCCGAAGUUUGUUCUAAGGAUCUGCAGUUUGUCACAAACCACUCGUGCUUUGACAUAUAAUCUAAAGGACUUUGGGCCCUCUUUUCCUUUUCCCUUUGGAGUCAACCAUACUCUGAAUAUCUGCUGUGAAUGAGUUCAUCUAACAAGCAGCUAAUAUGUUUGGAUCUCAGUAAAGCCCCAUUCUGCAAGACCUGGCUAAGCCUAGCAAGCAGUGGGCCCACAUUCUGGGUGUCUAGGACACAAUGACAAGUUCUGAUGGGACCUGGCUACUGCCCUCCAGUAACCCACUAGAGUUUCCUGACGAAAGUUGAGAGAGGACUGUUUGAUCAACCAAGUGUUUACAAGAUCCCUGGUAUUGCAAAGGCAAGCAAAGCGAAUUGCUCUAGAUACGAGAACUUGCUCCAAUCUGGCAAAGUGUAUGCUGGAGCAGGGUCUCAGGUGAAUGGGACUGUCUGCCUUAGAAGGUAGCUGAAAGCAUGCACAGGGUGUCCUAGUACUUGGAGCAUCUCCAAUGCAAGUCUCAGAUUUUCUAAACCCACAACCGGAGAAAGGGCUUUCCUGCACUGCAGCUGCCACUGUCUUUCCCAAGGACAGCCUGAUCUCGUGUGAGAAGUGCUAUCCCAUAGGCCUUCUUUCUGAUCAGCAAGUGCACUAUGGAAUAUGUAUGUCCUAAAGCUCUGGUGUGUGUGAUAUCUGUUCAAAUAAUAGACUCUUAGGCUCCAGCCCAGUGAUUUCCUAGAUCUGGGCAGGGCCUGGGAAUCUUUGGGGGUUUGUUUUUUGUUCAUUUGUUUUUGUUUGUUUUUUGCAUCACUGAGUUAUGCAGGAUCUUAGUUCCACCAGACAUGGAGCCCCCUGCUUGGAAGUGCAGAGUCUUAACCACUGGACCACCAGGGAAGUCCCAGGGUCUGGGAAUCUUUAACAAGCUCCUCAAGUGAUCCUUUGAGAACAUUGCCCUAAGGAAAUUACUUUUAAAGCCUUUCUGUUUGUGUGAGAUGUUUUCAUAAAUGUAUUUAGAACAGGCACAAAAGUGAUAAAGCCUCAAAACCCCACUUGUUUGGAAAGAUUAAACAUUAUACUUUCAUGAACAAAUGCUAUUUGGGUAUUAGACCUAGAAGACCACAGAGGAACAGAUCUGAAUUACCUUGAAAUCACCUAGUUCAGUGCCUGAGUGGCUCGCUCAUUCUCACAACUUGAAUUCCCUGUUCUAACAUGAAAAGAAAAAUCUGCAGAAGACAAUGUCAGGCAACAAAAGGAGAAUCCAAGAGAGUGUGCCAAUAUUAGCAGUUAUUUUUAAAACAUUGUUUACUGACAAUAUCAAAAGAGUCUUUUUAUGAGACUUUCUAUAGUAAGGGGAUUAUGUGGAUUCUUGUAGUAGUGGUUUCUUUACUGUAGAAGCAGUUGAAUACAUUCCCCAGUUUAAAAAUAUUUCCCCCUAAAUUCUCUUCCCUUUCAAGUUUGCAGCAUAAACCUUUGGUUCCAAGAGAAAUCCCUUGGCUCAAGCAGCUGCUGUAGUUCCAGCUCGUUGCUGAUCGUCACAUCCCUCAAGACCAAAGAACAAUAAAGGGAGACCAGAUAGCAAUGAUUCUCAAACCAGGGAAAACAGACAGGAGAGAGCCCCUGAGAAAAUAUGAAAGCCUAGUUGUUGUUUAAAAGCAAGGUGGGAAGACUAAAAGGACAGAUUUUUUUUUUUUUUUUUUU